UACGGAGGAUCCAAGCGUUAUCCGGAUUUAUUGGGUUUAAAGGGUGCGUAGGCGGCCUAUUAAGUCAGGGGUGAAAGACGGUAGCUUAACUAUCGCAGUGCCCUUGAUACUGAUGGGCUUGAAUGUACUUGAGGUAGGCGGAAUGUGACAAGUAGCGGUGAAAUGCAUAGAUAUGUCACAGAACACCAAUUGCGAAGGCAGCUUACUAUGGUGUCAUUGACGCUGAGGCACGAAAGCGUGGGGAUCAAACAGG
rnacentral:rRNA from 1 species